rnacentral:rRNA from 1 species
UACGGAGGGGACUAGCGUUGUUCGGAAUUACUGGGCGUAAAGCGCGCGUAGGCGGAUUUGCAAGUCGGGGGGUGAAAGCCCGAGGCUCAACCUCGGAACUGCCCUCGAUACUGCAAAUCUCGAGUCCGAGAGAGGUGAGUGGAAUUCCUAGUGUAGAGGUGAAAUUCGUAGAUAUUAGGAAGAACACCAGUGGCGAAGGCGGCUCACUGGCUCGGUACUGACGCUGAGGCGCGAAAGCGUGGGGAGCAAACAGG